GGGGCCGGCAAAGUGCGCCCAAGUUCAGCCCCCCCUCCCGCACCGACCCCCCCAUCCCGGGGCUCGCUCCGGACUGCCGCGACUCAAAGAAAGCCGAGAAAAGCAGGCUCCACCUCCUCCAGAAAUGAGUGAGCAUUUCCUGUCAGUUGACAACUCCCCCGAGGACGCUGCGUCACUGACCACCAACAAGUGAGAAAAUCUCAAAUCCUCUCCUCGGGAGCAUCAUAAUCUCCUUCCAAGGACGUUUUACUUCGCUUUCUGCAUCGCUGGAACAGGCAGGAGAAUUACACAAGCUCUCCCUCUGCCUAGGUUUGAGACAACACUGUCCCCUGCGGUUGAACUGGCAGGGACAGGAGGCAGAGGCUCCCUCCACGUUCGGGCUGGCCCAUCUCCGCUUUUUGAACGUGGAGAAACUUCACUACUAAAGUUAUCUCAGUCUGGGACAUACCUUCAGAUGUUUAUUUUUCUUCAGAUUUUGCUUUCUUCAUUAAGUUUAAGCAAGCAGCUGGGUUAAAAUGUAACUCUGGCAAGAAAAGACUUUAAAAGCUUUAAUGUCUUCCCCACUUAAACUCGGACAUUUCUCAGCCAGAAAAGUUUUCAGAAAUCGCAAAGAAGAAACAAAUGACUCCAAGGCCUUACCCAUUUAAUCAUAUGCAAAGUUAAAUCUCCCUGCAAAAAAUCGCUGAAAAUCAUUGACAGGAGGUGACUGGCAGGGAAAACACACACCUGAAGACCAGAGUGGAAUUACGACUUUGACUGUGUCAUCCAAAAAGCCCCUCAGAUAAAAGGAGAACAGGAUCAUGUGCAACUUUGUCCCCCUGGCACUUGCAUGGACCAGCUGACAGCUGGUGCCACUAUGAGGAGGAGAUGUCUCACUCCUGGGUGAGGUGAUGGUGUGACCAGACAGACCAUGUGGAGACCAUGCACCACAGUUUUGGUGCAAACGAUAAACCAGGGAUAGAACAUUCCCAUUUUUACCACUAUUAUCUCCAAGUUAGUUGCAGCACAUCGACUUAAAAUAAGUCCAAUAGUAAAUGAGCAGUAGCUCAAAUACUGAAAAGUGAUCCUAAAUCUAAUGCAAUAUGGUAGAAUAUACCAGUGGUUUUUAAUAUAUAUGCCUUUUAACCUGAAUUCCUCCAAACAAGGCCUCUUUCUAGAGACAGUGAGUAAAAUAGAUACAAAGGCAAAUGGUAAGAGCCUGUCAUUGAUCAUCUUGAUUUUGUUUUCUUUGCUGCCCUGGAACAAGUGCCCCCUGUGAAAGACAUCCACCCUGCAAGUCAGUUUUGAAAACAAACUCACUGCUUUGCUCUAGAGAGACAAACUUUGCACACUGCCUUGUGUUUAACUCAAAUAUAUUAACCUCCAAGGGGCAACAGUCUGGCAGAACUUCCUUGUGUGAUGGAUCCCAAAUCUUGGCAGGAAGAGUGGAGAAGUGUAAGAAUGGUGUGGGAAGUCCUGUAUACCUGUAUUUCUGUGGUGGGAGCUGGGACCAUUUACUCAUUUCAUACAAACAAUCCUGUUGGCUUCAUGGAGAAACCAGAAGGGUUCCAUCAGUGAUGUGUGAUUCCCCUGGCAGUGCUGGAAAGAAAGAAAAAGGGCUUGAUGGUUGCCCUCAGAGCAGUAAAAAAAGUGUGGUGCCAUCGUGCAACUUAUUUUAGCUUUCCAUCCAACAGGAAUUCGAUCAGAAUCUGUCACACUGUAUCAGAUCUAAUAAGCUCCAGACAGUGCUAACAUUUGUACUGAUUAUUCUUUAUAAUUUUUUUUUAUUAAGUUACCAGCCAAGAAAACAGUUCCUCCGUUGAAGAAAUUGCCCAAAAUUGUUUGCACUGAUUGCUCCAUCUUUUAAACUUCUUUCUCAGCAGUGGUACAAAGUUACUAUUUUCGCCUGGGUGAAGUAUUUUCCCUGCUUGUGCAGUGUUAUAACCUUAACUGCUUUCCUUGUGUUCUAAGGCAUCAUUCCUGAGCCUUGCUCCGUUGCCUGAAUGCCAAAGCAGAAGUGCUUCCCCAUGUCCUUGACUCAGCUGAUUUCAAAGACUUCAUCUGUUUUCUCUGACAUAGCCUAGAACUGCAAAUUUUAACAGGGGACCAGCUUUGACUUGUUAUUGGACAUAUUAUAAGUGUUGAUAUUUUUAGCAGAAAACACAUGUUCUAUUUCCUUAAAUGAACUUUUGCCUGUGAGACUCUUUUUCUAAGUGCAGGAGUUAUCUCACCAGUGGGAAUCAACACCCCCGGACUUACAGCUUACCUAAACACGGAAAUAUAAUCGCAAAUAACUAAGGGAAAAUAUUUUAGGAUGAUACCACAACAGUAAAUAGGGUAAGUCAAUUUUAUUUUGCAUUUGACACAGGAAAAUACAACUCGGUCAAUUAUCACAUCUCAGCUGAGGGGAGGUAAAUUUCUAAGACACUUGAAUUCAAAUGCUGAGGACCAGCUGACCACAGCAAACUGAUUUUAUUUUGUCUUUUUAGCAUGACAGAUAAAAAAACCAAUCAGGUAAAAAUUACUUUGUGUUCCCACAAAUGGGCACUUGCUGUUCAUCAAACUGUGUUUUCACAAAGAAAAACCCAAACUGCACAGAACUGAAUGAUGUAUUUUGGGUGGCAAACUAAAUAUUUAACUCAACCUGAAAUAUUCUGGUUUUCUGUCCCGUGCUUAACAGCAGUUUUAAAGUGAAGCACAAGGUGAUAACUUCAGCAGUUCAAGAGAUCUAGAUUUUCCUACUUUUUCAGCCAAAACCUCACUUUUCAACGAGUAAACUCUGUGUUUCAAAUUUAUACUGGUUCCACUGCUGAGAGAGCUUCAAUAAAACAUCAUUUUUCUGUGCAAACACUUUACCUCAUUUAUAAUCAAAGGAACACGGGCCUGAGCCGUCAGUCAAACUUAAAAGGGCCAUUUGUGAUCAUAUCAGAGAGACCACAUGGGAAGAUUUUGUACUUCUGGUAACAAAGGCCUCAAAGCACAACUUUGCCUUGUGAACGGGAACUUUUAGGGUGGAAUUUGGGAUACACAGUCUCGGGUGUGUCCAUCACAAGUGCUUGGUUUCAGGUACAAUAACCCUGGCUCCCAGCUAAUGUAACUAAACAGAAAUUAUAAAGCCCACCAACAGUU